AUCCAUCUGACGAGCCCUAAAUGGGGCGAAAUGCACAUCCUGCAC
rnacentral:hammerhead_ribozyme from 1 species